UGAGUAAGUCAGACAGUCGCUGCCCGGUAAUGCCGGGGAGAGGAAAGUCCGAGCUUCAUAGGGCAGGGUGCUGGGUAACUCCCAGUGGAGGCGACUCCAAGGAAAGUGCAACAGAGAUAUACCGCCAGGCAGAUGUCAGAUGUGAGAUGUCAGAUGCUAUCUUAAAUAGGCAAAGCUUUUAGCUUUUUAUGAUAUCUGACUUCUGACCUCUGAUAUCUGCUUGGUAAGGGUGGAAAGGCGAGGUAAGAGCUCACCAGCGCAUUGGCGACUUUGCGGCUAUGUAAACCCCACCUGAAGCAAGACCGAAUAGGGAGACAUAUGGGGCGGCCCGUCCCGUCUCCGGGUGCGU
rnacentral:RNase_P_RNA from 1 species